GCCAAACAGCUAGCUCAACCACCUAAUAACUAAACAAUGUAUAUAAAACAAAAUAAGCCUAACACCAAAAAUUAAACCAUUCUUUUACCUUAGUAUGGGAGACAGAAAAGGUCACACCUGGAGCAAUAGAAAUAGUACCGCAAGGGAAAGCUGAAAGAGAAAUGAAACAACUUAUAUAAGCACAAAAAAGCAAAGAUUAAAUCUUGUACCUUUCGCAUCAUGAUUUAGCCAGUAUACCCAAGCAAAGAGACCUUUAGUUUGAAACCCCGAAACCAGAUGAGCUACCCCGAGACAGCCUAUUAAGGGCCAACCCGUCUCUGUGGCAAAAGAGUGGGAAGAGCUCCGGGUAGAGGUGACAAAUCUACCGAACCUGGUGAUAGCUGGUUGCCUAAGAAGUGAAUAGAAGUUCAGCCUCGUGCUCCCCUAAUCGAAAGAUAUAGAAAAGAUGCUAAAGGGCAAUACACGAGAGUUAGUUGAAGGGGGUACAGCCCCUUUAACAAAGGACACAACCUUUCCAGGAGGAUAAAGAUCAUAAUACAUAAAACAUCCUGUUCUAGUGGGCCUAAAAGCAGCCACCUAAACAGAAGGCGUUAAAGCUCAGACAGAAGCAAGUUUAUUAUUCCGACAAGAAAUCUUACUCCCCUAAGUUCUAUUAGGCCAGCCCAUGCUCGCAUGGGAGAGACUAUGCUAAAAUGAGUAACAAGAAGGCCUGCCCUUCUCCGAGCACAGCUGUAAGCCAAAUCGGACCAACCAUUGGCAAUUAACGAACUCAACCCAAGAGAGCAAUGUGGAUUAUAAUAAGACCGAGAAGAACCCACAGCAAUUCAUCGUUACCCCCACACUGGCGUGCUAUUAAAGGAAAGACUAAAAGAAGGGGAAGGAACUCGGCAAACACAAGCCUCGCCUGUUUACCAAAAACAUCGCCUCCUGCAACGCAACCAAGUAUAGGAGGUCCAGCCUGCCCAGUGACGAUAAGUUUAACGGCCGCGGUAUUUUGACCGUGCAAAGGUAGCGUAAUCACUUGUCUCUUAAAUGGAGACCUGUAUGAAUGGCCAAACGAGGGCUUAACUGUCUCCCCCUUCCAGUCAGUGAAAUUGAUCUAUCCGUGCAGAAGCGGG
rnacentral:rRNA from 1 species